ACUGUGCACGCCCACGUAACCACACAAUCACAUAGAGCCCAAUCGUCGCAAGCACAACAAGGGCGAAACUUACGGCCGGAAAGCCGCAUCUCCCACCACGCACGUCACACCCACCACAGGCGCAUACAUCCAACACCCUCACGGCCCGCCCGUCUCUGUUCCUGAGGGCAGCCGAGCUCGCGCCACUCAGAUCCUGCCCAGCCCUCUGUACCGGCCGCGCUCCCGCUGGCACGGAGGCCCGUCUCGUCCUCCUGCCGGGAUUCUGGGCCUCUGCGCUCCCUCACCCAGCCGCGGCCGCCAUCUCCAUCGGUUGCUCGACGCUCGGCAGACGCGCCUGCGCGGCACCGAAACCGGAAGGCAGGCUGACAGACGCCGGUCGAGCGCCGAAUCUCCGAAGAAGAGAAGGGCGGAGGUGUGUUUCAACAGCGCCUGACGCACACAGGCCUCUGCGCAGGCGCUGUAAGAACCAAAAGGGGCGGACCGGAUGAAUUUGCAAAGUUUUGCUGUCCCGGGUGCUUACGUGCGAUGCGUUAAAGCCAGCCGGUGGUUCUCCACCAGUUGUAGAGGUAACACUGGGGAUAUAGAGACAAAACUUCAUCCCAGUCCUGGAAAGCUAUUUGCUUUGUGUCCUGCACAAGGGCUCGCCUUCAACGUCCUGAGCUCCCAAAGAAGAGCCGCAGAGCAUUAUGGGAAGAUCCUGAGCUUUGGGGUCAGAAGGCCAUCUCAGUUCAUGUUCCAAGAGUGUUACUUGACUCCUUUGCCUCCUGGUAUCACCAUUUGUAAAAUGGGAUGAAAAGAACACUUUCCACUUCAUAGA